CUACCCUUGACAUGUCUGGAAUGGUGCAGAGAUGUGCCAGUGCCCGAAAGGGAGCCAGAACACAGGUGCUGCAUGGCUGUCGUCAGCUCGUGUCGUGAGAUGUUGGGUUAAGUCCCGCAACGAGCGCAACCCUUGCCAUUAGUUGCUACGAAAGGGCACUCUAAUGGGACUGCCGGUGACAAACCGGAGGAAGGUGGGGAUGACGUCAAGUCCUCAUGGCCCUUAUGGGUAGGGCUACACACGUCAUACAAUGGCUGGUACAGAGGGUUGCCAACCCGCGAGGGGGAGCUAAUCCCAUAAAACCAGUCGUAGUCCGGAUCGUAGUCUGCAACUCGACUGCGUGAAGUCGGAAUCGCUAGUAAUCGCGGAUCAGCAUGUCGCGGUGAAUACGUUCCCGGGUCUUGUACACACCGCCCGUCACACCAUGGGAGCGGGUUCUGCCAGAAGUAGUUAGCCUAACCGCAAGGAGGGCGAUUACCACGGCAGGGUUCGUGACUGGGGUG
rnacentral:rRNA from 1 species